rnacentral:rRNA from 1 species
UACGGGGGGGGCAAGCGUUGUUCGGAAUUACUGGGCGUAAAGGGUUCGUAGGUGGCCAGCUAAGUCAGACGUGAAAUCCCUCAGCUUAACUGAGGAACUGCGUCUGAUACUGAUUGGCUUGAGUGCAGGAGAGGAACGCGGAAUUCCAGGUGUAGCGGUGAAAUGCGUAGAUAUCUGGAGGAACACCGGUGGCGAAGGCGGCGUUCUGGACUGCAACUGACACUGAGGAACGAAAGCCAGGGGAGCAAACGGG